GUGCAUGCUUUACUUGGAGAAUUAUCCCUCGCAGGACAACCGUAAGGAAGCUGUCAGAAUGCUGAGAUCCAUCCAAUGGCAAAGCAACAGGUUCAGUAAUGAGCCACUCCCUGCUGAACCUACCUUUGGGUGGGGGGGGACAAAGAUUCACACUGAAAGCCAGGUGGAUCAUUAUUGUGGCUCUGAGGUCACCAGGUCAAUCAGUCAAACUGCCAAACCUGGUAUCUAUGUGGUGUCAGGAGUGAUGACAAAUAAGCAACCACUGACACAUGAGCAUCAGCUGGUUUAUCCGAUACAACAUGAUGAUGUUGAUGAUGCAAUCGGAGCAUGCAGCCCAGCUGCUUGACAAUAUGACUGAACCAGAUCAAUAUUUUUGCAAUGACUUGAGCAUGAGCUAAUCUUGCACAAGGAGGAGCAGCAACCUUCCAUGUCCCAGAGCAACUUGACUGAGCCAACUUUUGCGCCGAUACCAGAAAGUUUCUGCUUGCCUUUGUCAGCUUGUGACUGUCUAGUAGGAUUUACAGGCUUCUGAAUUGAGAGUUAUUAUGCAGCAAGGACUUGGAUUGUUCUGUCCACCCCACUCAUUCCAUUAUUGCAGUCACUAGGACAAUUGUCAGCCUACAAGGUGGCACAUUCUGAACAAGCAUUGAAGAGCGGUGGAGGACCAUCGGCUGGCUGCUUGCCUGCAGCAGCGGUGUGCAUCACCUUUAAAGUUUCAUUGAGUUGGAUCCCAGCUAUAGGGGUGAUGGUCCCAAGAGUCUCCAACACGUAGGCCUUGCUUGUGCAUCGGCACCACACUCCCAGUGAACUCGGAUGAUUGUGCCGGCCGUAUCGGUAGGAGGGGAGGACCACCGGCCUUGAAGGUGAACACAGGGUUGAGCCAGCAUUGAAGCGGAGUGCGGCAGCAGGCUGCAUCUCUUGCACUGGUGUGUACCUUCAAAAGCUCCACAUAUUUGGAUUCUAGCUGAGCAUGAUGGUCCCAAAGGUCUCCUGCUCCGAGGAGGAGAGGGUGACCUUGUUCAAAUGGAUUCAUUGAUCCUGGCCAAACUUGUAGAUCUUUCGAUGUGGAACAGCAAGAUCAAAGCUUGGGUCGUGAGUUGCUCGGCUCCCAACAUUGGUCACCCUGCUCGCAUGGAGUUGUCAGUCUCAUCUACACGGCUCAGUGUUUGCGAGAGAAAUGACCAACAAAUGGGUUCUUGAACGGAAACGAGAUGUAUAAAAUGCUGCUGUUGUCAUAGCUGGAACAUCAAAAACCAUGCAGUCGGUAUCUUCUGCAGGUUUAGACUACUAGAAGACUCGUCUCGGAGAAUGUUAUAAUGAGCAUAUGGAGGGGGAAAAGGACAGUGUGUGGCCAAGUACGAGGCGGCUUGAAGCCUUCUUCGACGGACAAAUUAAUAGGUCGAUGAGCUUUCGCGGCUCACGAGUGGCGGAGGGGGAUAGGUUUAUUUGGGAAGACCAGGAACCAAAGACGACGACUGUGACUCUUCUUCGAGGCUGUUGGACGAGAUGACUUAUCACAAUUGUCUGCAGUCAAGCUGAAACACUUUCUACGGUCCGCGGGAAACUGUGCAAGUGUUCAUCCCUGAGCUUACGGCCAAUGAAAUGAAGUGAUGAGUCGGCGUCUCUGAGCCCGUGAGUGACAAAGCUACAGGAUAAUUAUGAUUACACCUCUCUCUCUCUCUCUCCCCCCGCGAUGCAGAGGACCACCACGGCAACUUCCUUCUAUGUGCGCACAAAGUUCCGGAGUUCCCACCUUCACCAGAAUGAAUCGCAUAAUGGAAGCUCUGGUUUAGGGGGUCUUCAAGAUGGGCUGCAGAGCUCUGGUACAACACGGUUGGAUCCAUCAUCCCUGAUUUCAUGCUUCAUCGGUUCUCAGGUUGGCUUUCGAUGUCAAUA